GAGAGAUUAGUUAAAGCAUAAUAUAGGGUUGUCAAUCCUAAGUUACUAAAAUUAUAUAGUAUCUCUCU
rnacentral:tRNA from 1 species